GGGUGAGAAGCACAUAUGGUAUGUGCGGUGGUCUGUUAAACCAAUGGUAGAAGGUUCGAACCCUUCCUUGCCCGCCA
rnacentral:tRNA from 1 species